UGUUGUAGUCAACUUCGUAGAACCCGUCUUCCAGCGUUAGGACGGGGGUGAAGCGGUAACCCCACAAGAUCUCACUGGUGAUGUAGGAGCUCCGAGCUUGGCACGUCAUUCCUGUGGAGAGGAGAAAAGGCUUUAGGAUCCACGGGCUUCCAAGGCCAAGGAGACCUGGGGACCUGGGCAGAGCUGUUAUGUACAGACAUUUAUACUGUGUUGUAGAGGAGGGUGACACCUCUGUGCUAUCUUUCACAUUGUAGACACGUGCCAUGAAACUCCAGGACUUUCUAAGACUGGCAAACUGAGUUCAAUCCCCCAAAUCCCACGUAGAUGUGGGAGAUUACUGACUCCAUAAAACUGUCUAUUGGCUGCCUCUCACAUACAGUGGCAAUGCAUCCUCCCCACACACAAUCUAGCCACACAUCUCCAUAGACAUUAAUAAAUAAAGCAAAUUAAGAAAUUUAUAACUUGUUAAAUUAUACAGAAUAAGUGACCAUAGGAUGUUCAGUCACAAAAGGGACAUCGAUAUCCUGAGACUCAGAGACCAUUACAGAAGAGGGGUAGAAAGACUGUGAGCACCAGAGGGUCAGGGAAGGCUGGGACAGAGUGCUUUGGACGUCACAGGACCUCAUACCUAGGAACUCACAGACAUUGUGGCUGACUGCACAAGACCAAACCAGUUAAUAUCCUAGCGUGGAAUAGAAGGGGUUCAUGAGCCCCCACCUCCGACUGUGGGGUUAUGGACGGUUGAUGAUGGGAGUUAGUUUGUUUUUCCACAGAGUGGCUCCUAGUGGGUUGACCACAUUCUAGUGAAUAAUUGCACAAACAGAAGUAAUGGAGAGAAUAAAUGAGCUGAUGGGUUAUUAACAAAAAGGGGGGGCAUGAAUUGUUGGUGGGUAGGAAGGAUCUGGGAGAAGUUAAGGGAGUGAAUGGGUGAUGAAUAUGAUAAAAGUACAUUGUAUGGCAUUCUCAAAGAAUUAAUAAAAAUGUUUCUUGCAAAAACACAAACAAAAUAGUUAUGGAAGCCAAAAGGCUUGUAACAGCACCCCCCUCCCCCCAUGUUAGCACAACUGAUGCCAUGAUGAUGUACCAUUCAGGCUGUGAAACUCAGUACUUAGAUAGUACCACUGGCCUAAUGAAAACAAAGACCUAAUCCAUCUAAGUUUAUAGCUCUGGGGAAGUUGCUAAAGGUAUUAGCCUUGCUUUUUAGCUUCUAUAGUUCCACUCUGGCUAGCUGUUCUUGUUAACUGAAGUACGUCAGCUCAGGGUAGAGUUUCUGUGUCUAAAGCUCACCCUGUGAAAGGCCUGGUACACUAGGAUCCUGGUGUAGUCACCAGCAGGCUAAUAAAGAUUUUCUAUUGGAUUAAACCCAUGACUGAACAUUCUUCUCUGGUGGAUACUCCAAAACAGGCAAUGAGGAGAUAGUUUUCAAAAUACGGAAAGCAGAAAGAUUGUUAACCAAGAAUUCUAUACCCAGCAAAACUAUCCUUCACAAAAUGAAGGAGAAAUGAAGUCACUCAGUGAGUACAAAUGGAGACGGGUCAUUGCCAGCAGCUUUGCACUGCAUGGGAUCAUGAAGGGAAUUCUCCAGGGAAACAAAAAGGAAUCUGGGUGACAACUUAAAUCCACAUGAAGAAAUAGACGCUGGUGUAGAGAACCAUGAAGGAAAUGCAUUUUUUUCCUCAAGGUAUAAUUUUGCGCUGCGUCCAUUUUCUGGUAACAGUUCUGCUGCAUUACGUAGUAUACUGUAGCCUAUUUCCCCAGUAACAGUCAUUCAGAAGUGUGUGCUCUGUGCCCUCCUAACAGCCUGGGAAGGCUCAGCCCUGAUGGGGUAAUGGUCACACCUGCCCAGGCAGACCCAGCCACAUUCACAGGUUUCCCUGGUUGAGUUUGAUCAUCCCUGCCCCUGUAACUGGAAACCAGCAGAGGAUCUGCAGUUGCCUAUCAACUCUUCGUACCUGGUCAACGGAGACGGGAAAACAGCAAAAGCAACUGAGCUUCCACUCAACACAGCAGGCUGGACUCUCACGUCAGACAGAUGGUCACCAAAAGAAGUCCACAUGUACGUGUACACAUGGAUGUCAACAAUAAUUAAAGAGGUAAGGAUGUGAGAGGGGGUGAGAGCACGGUAGGAGUCGUGCGGGAGAGGGAAAGAUUGAAAGUACCACGUUUCUACCUUACUUUAUGAGGCAGGAUUUCUCACCAAACCUGGCGUUCACCAAUUUGGCUAGACUGACUGCCAGCAAUCCUCAGGGAUCCUCCAAUCUCUGCUCCCCCCACACUGGGACUCCAGGCAUGCACUACCAUGCCUGACUUUUUAUCUUAUUUUUCAUAUUUUUCAUGUGACUUCUGGGGACUGAAUUCAGUCCUCAUGCUUGUACAAGAAGCACUUUACCGACUGAACCAAAGCUCCAGCCUUAUUUUUCUAAAAAUUAUUUAAUCUUAGAGUUUCUUUACUGAGAACUUCUCUGAGUCCCUAGUGGGUCUCCCAAGUGCUUUAGAGAAGUACGUGGAAACAGCCUGUCUUCGGGCAUCCAUUUAAUUUCCAGAUAAAACCACAUGGAUGAGCAGUAGAAACUCAUUCCAUCUCAGAGCCAUAAAACCACACAGACAUGUAGCUAAGGAGUCCAUGGUCAAACACUGGAUAGACUCUGCACAGUUUAAAUUUAGCAGGAGAAGCUCUAAUUUUAGAUCCAGCCACAAGUUACAGUGGGAGAGAGGUCUGUGCAUAGACUAGCAAUGUGAUGAAAGCCAUCCCGAGACAGCCCCUCGGGGUACAGCCAGAGGUGUCAGUGGCAGACAAUAAUGCUUCAAGUCUGCCUAGUGAAUAAGAUUGCAGAAUAGACCGCUUCACUUCUGGAUAACGUAAAAUAGAUCUACAUUGCCGACAUUCCACAAUGAAGAGGGCUUGUCACAGGCGCCUUGCUGGUUUGCUUCAUGGACCAGGCUUUGUGACAGGUCAUUUGCUUUUCCCGCUUCCCUCCCGCUGAUCUCAGGAAGAGCUGCUCUCAGUCAGCACAGCCGGAGUCUCAGCGCUGGGCUGCCCACUGUGGGGGAAUGGCACUGGGGACUCGCUGAGUCUGGUGUCAGAGGGAAGCAGGGCAGUGUAAUCAACACAAGGAUGUGGACAUAGCUGAAUCUAUCAUGAGAUACAGUCAGCCCUGCUUACGCUCAGGCUUAGGGUCCCUUCGAUGCGCACUGCACUCUCUCAGGGCCUUUGACGCAAACCACGCUUUUUCUAACCUGGGGAUUCGUGGUGGCUGGUUUGCACCAUGCAGAAACAAACUGAAUUCAUGUCUUCAAAAUGACCCAAGGAAAGACAUUCUGCAUCCACAUUCUUACGCUGAGAAAGCCAUCGGGUACAGUCAUAAUCUGAAUACUGAGUCAAGUGGUAACACUAUUGGUUGAAUGCUGCUGUGAACCGGGAACUGGCUGCCGUGAACCCAUGUUCUUUGGCAUCACGUCUGGGCUGGAGAUUCUACAGAAUGAUUGCCUGUCUAGAACUGUGUGAUUGUGGAGAGUUGGACUAUUGCAGAUUAAAAGCCUGUAUUAUCUUGGACUAUCUUGGUCCCCAUAAUAGCCAAUUAUUGCCAGCCUCUUUUUUGACCAAAUAACUUUGUGGCUAUUAGGUAAAGCUUUUGGUUAUAUUAAUUUAGCAGGGCACUAGCUUUUACUAACUCAAAAGCUAAGAGCAUUAUCAGAUGGCCUCUGAGGACUGUAGAGUUCUCCUGCUUGGUUGAUAGUCAUUUGGCCACUGUCCCACCUGUGUGGUUGGUUGAGCUUUGGUUUCCAACUGCCUUCCAUUCCUUAAAGUUUCUAUAGCCACUUCCAUGGUGGAACGUGCCAUCCAGGGAAGCUUGAAUCCAAUUCCUGGGCCGUGGCCACUCAGACUGUGGCUUGAUCCCUGGGAGAUGAGCUCUGUCUUGCAUGCAUGAGUCAUCUGAUCCUUGUAAGAGACCCCUGAGUGGAUGCUGCAGCCAUAUUUAGUCUACAGGGGAGAGACUAAAUAGAGAGAGGUUAAGAAGCUGGUGACAACCCAGCACUGUGGGCUCAGAGUUGUGACUCUAAACUUCAUGUCUUGAAACCCUGAGUGUGUAUGGUGAUUGGGUCUUGCAGGAUUGGUCCACUACCCUUAUCAUCUCUUUAGGAGAGGAAAAGGCAGGCAUGCUGGCACAUGCCUAGGACUGUAGCACUUGGGAGGUGGGGAGGGGGUCCAUAAGUUCAAAGUCAUUCUUAACUAUACUGUGAGUUCCAGGCCAUCCUGGACUACACAAGAUGAGAUCCUGUUUAAAAAAUUAACAGAGAAAAAAAAGAAGGGGAGAGACCCCAGAAAGUGGGCAUCCUCUUCCUGCCCAGGCAUAUGGGGAGGAGGUUGUGUGAGGACCCAGGCAGUGGGCACAGUAGCGUGUCUGCAGCGGUGAACACAGUAGAUUGUCUGCAGCAGUGGGCACAGUAGCAUGUCUGCAGCGGUGAGCACAGUAGUGUGUCUGCAGUGGUGGGCACAGUAUCGUGUCUGCCGCGGUGAGCACAGUAGCGUGUCUGCAGUGGUGGGCACAGUAGCGUGUCUGCAGUGGUGGGCACAGUACCGUGUCUGCCGCGGUGGGUACAGUAGCAUGUCUGCAGCAGUGGGCACAGUAGCAUGUCUGCAGCGGUGAGCACAGUAGCGUGUCUGCAAUGGUGGGCACAGUACCGUGUCUGCCGCGGUGGGUACAGUAGCAAGUCUGCAGCGGUGGGCACAGUAGCAGGUCUGCAGCGGUGGGCACAGUAGCAGGUCUGCAGCGGUGGGCACAGUGGCAGGUCUGCAGCGGUGGGCACAGUAGCAGGUCUGCAGCAGUGGGCACAGUAGCAUGUCUGCAGCGGUGGGCACAGUAGCAUGUAUGCAGCAGUGGACACAGUAGCGUGUCUGCAGCAGUGGGCACAGUAGCAGGUCUGCAGCGGUGGGCACAGUAGCAGGUCUGCAGCAGUGGACACAGUAGCAGGUCUGCAGCGGUGGGCACAGUAGCAGGUCUGCAGCGGUGGGCACAGUAGCAUGUCUGCAGCGGUGAGCACAGUAGCGUGUCUGCAGCAGUGGGCAGACUGCAUGGAUCAGAUUAAAGAGGAGGGUGGCACCUUCCCGUCUCUCCUUGAUGGGAGAUUGUAGAGUAGGUGGUGCAAUACACAAGUGUCUCGCACACACAGAGCGUAUAACGUCUUCAGGAUGUUGUUAGGAAGCACAGGUGGUUGUCAUUAUGCUUAUUCGAGCUUGAAGGGGCUGAUUUGGGCCUCAGGGUUUUAGCUCCUUUCUCUUUGAGCUCAUAAAGACUCUUGGUCUUUCUAAAGACCUGGUUGAGGGGUGUGUGUGUGUGUGAAUGUGUACAUGUGUGUAUGUGUGGUGUGUAUGUCUAUGUAUGUGUGUAUAUGUAUGUGUAUGUAUAUAUGUAUGUAUGUGUGUGUGUCUUUGUGUGCAUAUGUGUGUGUGUGUGCGCGCGCGUGCACGCGUCUGUGUUUGUGUGUACAGGGCAGGGGAGCAGUGUUUCAGAAUAAGCUUGUGUAUUAUUAGUUACGUCUCUGCUGCUGUGAAAAGGCAGCAGGACUGAGGUAACUAAGGAAGAGUUUAUUUGGUUUACAGCUCCCAGGCCAUGAGAGUCUAUCACGGUGGGAAGCAGAAGCUGAGGGCUCCACACUGAAAGAGCACAGCUGAGGCUGUGAACUGGAUAUGGCACUGGCCUAACUCUCAGAGUCCACUUGCAGGGACACACUGCCUUCAGCAAGACCGUGCCUCAUCAACCCUCACAAAGAGUGUGCCCAGUGAGGACCGAGACUGUGAGGGACAGCUCGUCCAAACCACCAGAGCCUGACGCUCCCUGACCGGACUCAGAUUAAGUGGAAAAUAAAAGCAAGUUCGGGGCCAGUGCCAGCAUCUGACAGGGGCGCACGGCGAAUUUAAUGGAGAGAUGGGAGCAUUUGGUCCCCGAAGAUAAGCAUGACAUUGUAAUUCAGUAGCGAUGAGAAAACUGACGCUCUUGGAAACACCGACCCACGAUCGCCAGCUUGCUCCGUAAGUUUCUGUUACUGCGCAGCCGCAGCCGUUUAAAACCCGUCCUGAAAUAUCUGCAGUGCAGAACAUUGAGAAGGGUUUCUCAUUUGCUGGGAUGCUGCAGCAGGCAGAAGGGCUGUUUGUGUGCGACUUUCGAUGGAUUUAGAAAGCCCUGCAGAAGUGGGUGGUGACGAUAGAGAGAUUUUUCUUUCUUUUUUGGCUUGUGUGUAUAAUGGAUAAAACAGGAACACACUCUGUUACUGUACCUUCCCCAGUACACCCGAAGGCAAGCACCAGAGACGGGACCCAUAGACAGAGAAAGCAUGGCCCGGCCAAAGGCUGCCAGCCACACAAAGCUUUCCAGGAGAGGCAACUCCUGGCGCCAUGGGGAAACAGAGACAGCGGUCAAAUGUGCUGAGCCUCUCAGCUGCUUGGGAGCAGAGCCCAGUACAUGCCAGAACUUCCACUGCCCAGGCCCUCCCCCUUCCCUUCUGUCCCCGAGACACCAAGUCCCUGCCUGGAAAUGUUGGCGCCCACAUUCAGAACAUAAACCUCCUCCCUCCUCCCCACAGAUUAAUCUGUUUUCAGUGUUUACAUUAGCCAGAAACCAAGCAGGGAAUACUCCUAAGUCACUUUUCAAAUCCGUUUUUUAAAUAGUUUCCCAGCACAGGCUGCUUAGCUGCUCUGUUAGAGCUGAGUUUACCCUGAUCUCACUUCAGCUACUUCAAAACGCUGCUUGCAGGGCCCUUCCUGAGGUUUGCAGUUCAGGGCUCAGCCUUGCCACUUUGGGCUUCCUCCUCUCCUCUGUGACGGACAGUGACUUGAAAUGUUUUCUGAAGCAGUUGAAGCAUUUUACCAUCUGAAAGUGGAACCAGCAGUGUGUGAGCAUUCUAAUUCUCUCUCUCUUUAAAAUCUCUUUAAUAGCUGGGUUUCUUUCUUUCUUUCUUUCUUCCUUUCUUUCUUCCUUCCUUCCUUCCUUCCUUCCUUCCUUCCUUCCUUCCUUCCUUCCUUCCUUCCUUCCUUCCUUUCUUUCUUUCUUUCUUUCUUUCUUUCUUUCUUUCUUUCUUUCUUUUAUUUAUUAUGUACACAGUGUUCUGCCUGCAUGUGUGUCUGCAGGCCAGAAGAGGGCACCAGGCCUCAUGACAGAUGGUUGUGAGCCACCAUGUGGGUACUGGAAACUGAACUCAGGACACAUCUGGACACAGUGCUCUUGACGUCUGAGCCAUCUCUCCAGCCUUCUAGCUCUUGAAUAAAGAUGCAGAUGUCAGAACACAGUUACACCGGAAGGAGAGGGAUAGGCCCAGAAGUCCGGAGAGGAGAUGAGUGCGGGUAUAAAAAGCUCCAAGGUCACUGGGCAGUGCAACAGAGUCUCCUAAAGAUUCCUGCAAGCCACUGGGGACUGCUUCCUGGGGCUCCAUGUAGUGACUUAGUGGGACUCACGUACAAAGGUCACCUUCUAGGUAGCCUUUCCCAGAUGUGCUGCGCGCCAGCAUGUGCUCCGUUCUUUCUCCUAGAUCUCUGUCUACUUAACCAAGGGUGGCCAUAAGCCCAGAACCAACUGCCCAGAGUGCAGGAGCCUCCUGAGCCCAGACAAUGGGGGAAAUGUAAGAGGAAUUGGGGCCCGUGGAUGCCCCCUUUAAAGGAAACAAUUUAUUAUUAUUUUAUUUGUGUGUGUGUGUGUGUGUGUGUGUGUGUGCGCGUGUGAGUUCACGUAUGUGGAGGUCAUAGAGGACAUCUUGGUGGAACUGGUCCUCUCCUAUCUUUACUUGGAUUCUGGGCCUUGAUCUCAGGUUGCCAGGUUUGUGUGGGGAGCAUGUCUUGCUGGGCCAUGGAUUCUCUAUUUGUGCCACAGAGAGGGCCAGUAGAUGGCAUGGCCACUUGCCCUUUAAGCACCUGUCUCUUCCAUGGUCCUUCUUGGUCCCAGAAUGUGCUGUUCCCAUCAGGACACAGCAAAGUCUCGUAUGCAUGGUGCCAGCCUCACUCAGGCUCUGAGUCUCAUCUGGUUUCCUGUGUCAGAAAUGUUAGGUUGGGCCGAGACUUUCUGGGAAACAUCAUGAGGUGUGGACUUGCCCCCACUCCUGUUGUCGUCCUCAGGAGAGUUACCUCACUGUGGGGUGGGAGCUGCCACAGUGACACACAGUUUACCUUCAUGAAGCCCACCAAUCUUCGUACAUCCCGUGGUUCUCUGGUGUCCCAGCCUGUCCUUAGGUUGGGUCCUCUUUACAGCUUGAAGGCUGAGGAUGAAUGAUGAUCACAUGUAGUGGACUGACAGGCCCCUCCGUGGAACAUCAACGCCACACUUCUCAAAGGCACAGGGAACAUUAUAGAGGAGGAGACAGAAAACCUUAUAAGAGCUAGAGACUGAGGAAGACGGCCACAAAAACGCUGUCUUCUGGACAUGACUGGACGGUUGCACUCAUGAGCUCCCAGUGUGGCUGCCUGCACAAACCUACCCAAGACCAUGACAGCCGAAAUUCCUCCAUGGCUAGGGACCAGCUCUCAAGGCUCUGGCUCUAGCUCAGGAGCUCUUGGUUGUUGGUGGAGCUUGUGGAGGGAGAACCAUUUGUCUUCAGGGGCGUGGCUCCUGGUAUCCAUGCUCUGGUGUGUGGCCCCAUCCUACACCCGUGUGCAUCUGGGCAGCACUAAUUCAGAGGGUUAAAAACAGAGGAUACGAGGUUGGGAGCAGGCCAUGGCCGUGGUCUGAGAGGAGUUGGAGGGGAAAGUAAGGGGCAGAUAUUACCAAAAUAUUCUGUAUACAUGUAGGAACUUCCCGAAGAAUAAACAGAAAUGCAUUGAAAGGAGUAACAUAAGUCAGUAGUUGUUUGACAAGUCAUGAUCAAGCCCCGCCCCUUGACAAGUCAUGAUCAAGCCCCGCCCCUUGACAAGUCAUGAUCAAGCCCCGCCCCUUGCCUACAUCUUGGUUUAAAUCCCUUGGGAGGAGAAGGUGACUUCGAGAUCAACAAGCCCUGCUGUAAGUUGAGUGGCAAAUGACUAUUUGUUUUCUCCUAAAUGUAAGUAGGGCAUAAUGCGCGAUCAUAUUUCAGAUCAUUUAAGAUUCUUUCCCAUAAUCAAUAUAAAACUAAUCAUGGCUCCAGUGGUGUGACUGUCAGUAGGCUGUCCCAUGCUCCAGGGGUGGCUCACACCAUACACCUAUGUCAGUAGGCUGUCCCGUGCUGCAGGGGAUGGGCUCACACCCAUACACAGAUGGGUAGCACUUAUUGGACUCAGUGUGUUAAAAAAUGAUAGAAAAUUGAGAGAGUGAUAUGUUGGGGUGGAGCCCAGGAGAAGUGGAGGGGGGAUGGAAGGUGGAUAUGAUCAAAAUACACCGUAUUCAUCUGUGACAUUCUCAGACAAUAGAUGAAAAUAGUAUUUUUUAAAAAAGAUUCCUAAAGACUAAAAUAAGCUUCACUAAGGAAAUGAAAGAUUCCUACACAGAAAACUGCAAGGUUAAUGCUGAAGAUAAAUCUAGGCAAAUGGAAUGAUAGUCUACGUUCACAGGCUAGCAGACUCCAUACCGCUCAGGCGGCAGCACUACCCAAUGUCUACGGCUUCAAUGCAAUCCUUGUGACAAUUCCAAGAGCCGGUUCAGAGGGGAUCACAGGAGCCCCACACAGCUGAGGCAACGCUGGAAAGGAAGAGCAGAUGUCACAUCCUGACCAAAGACGCAGUGGUCGCUCUCUGGCUUUUAACAUGUGUAGCAAUGUAAUAAAGCUGAGAUUCUGAACAGAGAGACAAUCAUCCACGGCCACUUAGUCUCCAGCAAGGAUGUCACAAUCAUUAAAUGGGAAUAACAGCCUCUUUGCUAGUGCCCCUGUAACAAGUGGUGUCCACAUGCCAAAAAAAAAAAAGAAUAAAAAUAUAAUUACCCCUUACCUCACCCAUAUAUAAAAAGGCAUCUCUGCGUGAGAAGUAAAGACAUAAAACUCAUAGAAGAAAAUGGCACCACUAGAAGAAGCAAUAGGACUUGGUCAAGAUAUGGCCUUAUCAAAAGAAAGUUCUGUGCAGUUAAAGGUCAGUAUCAAGAACGUGGAAAAACAUCAGGAAGUGGAGAAAAUUGUUGAAGUUAUCUGUCAGCUAAGGGUCUUGCAUCUAGGACAUAUGCAGAAUGCUCAUAAUUAAAAAACGAUUAUCUGUGGCUGGGGAGAUGACUCAACUUCCAGGGGAUCUGAGUUCAGGUCCUAGCACUCAUGUUUGGUGGAUCACAACUACCUGUGAUCCCAGCUUCAGGGCAUCUGACGCCCUCUUCUGGCCUCCAUGGGCAACUGCACUUUUGUGGACAUACCCACAGGCAGGCAGGCAGACACAGACACACACAGGAACACAUAAAAAUAACAAUAUAAUAAUUCACUUUUAAAUAAGCAAACUGCCUGAACAGCCAAAGCACACACAUGAAAGCACAUGAAAUCUCAAUGAGCUGCUGUUUUUCUACCUCGCCGCAGGGCCUGAGGCAAUGAGGUUAAAUAACCGUAGAUUGAAGCCUCAGAAACACUGGAUCUGCAAAAACUUCUUCCCGCUUGAAGUGAUUUCCCCCGGCAUCCUGUCACAGCAAUGGGAAGCGGGCUGACUAACAUGUCUUCCUCCUGGCACUUUUUGGUUAUGUAAGCCACAGGGCCCUUCAUUAUUUCUCUCUCUUCCUUUGCAUACAUUGGUUUGGGUGCUCUGAUAUUGCCUUUUGAUUAAAAACAUUUUUCAUAAAGUUCCAAGAUACAUACUCUAUCCUCAGCUUAGUUUAACUUUACUACCCCUGGUCAUUUUUUGUAGACUUUUUAUUUAAUCAAAAGACAAUGAAGAGAGAGAGAGAGAGAGAGAGAGAGAGAGAGAGAGAGAGAGAGAGAGAGAGAGUGUGUGUGUGUUGUGUAUGUGUGGGUGUGUGGUCUUUUAAAUGAGAUGAAUGCUUUUUUUUUAGUUAAAUUACCUUUAUAAUAUAAUUUUCUCAAGAUUAAAAUGGCUUGUGGUCAUUAUCAAAUAUGAAAGGAGGAGAGGAAAUGACAGGGUGGCGAGGAAGGGGAGACACUGAGGGAAAUGGAGCUAAGGCAGGAAGAGGCUAGAGCUGCCUGCAGUGCCCCCAUGACCGGGCUGAUGCCAGGCUGCGGUUUCCGGGAGGGCUGGAUGCCCUCCCAGUGCUGGUCGGCACUCGGUGCCCUCAAUGGACUCCCCACAGCUCCCGGAGGCCAGGCGUUCCUGUCCCCCUGAGGUCAAGAUGGCCUCCUUCAAGGGAGCGGCUCCUUGGGCCUUACCCAUCUUUACUCUGGGGGUGCUAGCUUGUGUGUUAAAUCUGACUCAUCCCACACCCCGCGUGCACAACGACAGGACCCACACAGAAAGCCUGUGGGCACAUUCGGUCACUUUAGAGACACCUUUAGGGUCAGAACGGGAGAGCAAGGAGGGAGGACUCACAGGUGGCAGCGACAAGGAAGAGCUUACAAAGAUGGGCUGGGCUUUGAAGAACAAACUGGCGUUUAUUAGGAAGACCAGGAAAAGGCACAAGAGGACAGGUUCUCUGUGGCAACGCUUAUACCUGAAGCGGCCUUGAGAAAACUCGGGAUCUGCUCUGUCUCACUGGGUUCACCUGGCUGCUUUCACCGUGUGACUUGCAUUUGUGGUGCUCCCGCAAUGCAGUCUCUUCCACUCUGCCUGGAGGUCACUGGGACAGUAGUGGCAGGUGAGUCUGGGUCUGCCACUAGGGAGAGCCUGUCACCAUCUGUGAUACACCCCACGUAAGACCUGGCCGGGGGGGGGGGGUUCUGGAAUGACUUUCAUCUGCCUCUCGUCCCACCCACUCAAAAAGUGACCCGUGUCAUGGUUGCCCUGGACAUCCCAAAUCCCAGAAACCCCCGAUGCUGGCCAGCAAGGCACAGACUAUGUGCAAAAUCCCUUCUGGAUACCCUUACAGUGACGGUCUCAGGGCAAUAGCCAGGUCCUUAAGGAGACUGCGCGUCUCCCCCAGUGUGGAGCUGAUGACCCGUGCUCCCGUGCGCUGCUCAUUCCCAGGCCACCCUGCAGUCCCAGGUCCCUGCACUCCUGCUGUCUGCUCAGAACGCCCGCCCCUGCAGCCUACAGGGCUCCCACCUUCUCCCCCUGCUUUAGCACUGCCCCCUCAAGGGCGCUGUCCACCUGCGCACCCCCACAGGGCGCCCCUUUUCUCCUGCACGCUUCCUGCUCAGCCUUCUGCUGCUCACUGGGCUGGCAGCCUCCCGUGCUGCCUGCUGGAUGACUACUUCCUAAAACACUGUGCGGUACAAAGGGCGGGAAAUGGAUGCGCGCAGUUUGGACAGUUUCUGAUGUGGGAAGUCCGGGACACGAACGAGCAGUCUCUGCCUGCAAGUUUCAGGGUGGCUAAGGGGAGGCGAGGGGUGCUCUUCCCAGAGCGCUCCCCAUCUUGCUGUCUUCCAGACUUUCUGGUAGGCUCAGGAAAGCCUGCUGGUUGUUGCUUUGCCCACAUGAUCUCUCUCCCUCUUUCCUGUCUUUAAAUUGUGUGUACAUGCACAUG